rnacentral:lncRNA from 1 species
CCUGAGAUCAUGAGAGGGAACAGGCUUGGAGCACCAAAUGCCAGCUUAGAUUGAUCAGCUGUGGCCUGGCCAGAGUUACCAAGAAAGCAGAGUGAAGACACCUGGAAAGAAGCUGUCGUGAUCAGUGCUUCCUGGAAGGCUGCAGGUUUGCUGUCAGAAUUCAGACAUGCUUCAUGAACACCUUUUCGUCCUGAGUAGCUUCUCACCGUCAGAACCAGAAGUAGAGUAAUAUCAUGGCCAAAUUACUGUCUAUGAGAUGAUAAACAUCAGUCGGGAAGGAAAGAAAGAAGCAUGUACUUUAUUACAAUCGCAAAGAUGCAGGAGGCUUCAGAUGUCAUCUGGUCCAGCUUCCCACUCACGGAAGAGUCGUCUUCGCCAGAGGUUGUCCAGCCUUUGUUCAAAUAUGGUGACAGGGAUAGAAGAUCUGACGCUUUGUGGGGCAGCCGAUUCCUGUUAAAACUUCCUUAACUGCUAAAGAAAUUUUCAUCACAAUGAGCUGAGUUCCACCGCCUAGUAAUUUCCACACACUGGUCUUAUUUCUGUCCUUUGUAGCCACAGGAAUCUCUACUCUCUUUUCCAUAAGACUGUUCAACUUUGAAAACAUCUUUUGUGUUUUCCAUCUAAAAAUACUCAGUUCUCUCAAUUUUUGAAGGCCAAGUCGAUAUUAAACUAAUCAGUUCAACUUCACCUCAUCCUAUAAGCAUUUAAAGUAAAAUCUUUAAAAAAAAAAUGAAAUAAAGUGAAUUCUAGCAUAUAACGUAAAAAAGUAGUCAGAUAUAAAUAAGAAACCAGAAUCAGAGCUACAGAAAAUUACAAGGAAAACAUUAAGAAUGAGAACAAAAGAACAGAAAUAUGCAUGAGCCUGCAGCUUAAACCUGUUUGGCUCUAAUCUGAAUCAAAAGUGGAUUUGAGAUUUCAGUUAUCAGUACCAGGAAAACAUUUUUCUGUCAUCACCUAAAGUGCUUUCCCCACGUGGGCCUUUAUCUAAGGAGGAGUCUCUUGUUCUCGUUCUGUCCGUUCACUGACAAUGGGCUCACGCAGGCCCCUGUGAAAUGCAG